rnacentral:lncRNA from 1 species
CUUUUCCACCUUUUUUGCACCUUAUUCCUUAACGGUUUGAGCCAUAACUCCCAAAGACAAUUCUUACCAUCCCUUUGUGGUAUUCCAAUAUCCAAAAUUUAAAUAAAUGGUUAGAUUCAUCAUAUAAAAAAAAACCAAGAAUUCAAUUUUUAAUGAAAUCAAAUAAGUUCAAUUUUGGACCCUUUAGACCUCAAUGUGGACCAAUUUGAUAACCG